GACGAACGCUGGCGGUGUGCUUAACACAUGCAAGUGGAGCGACGAACCAGAGCUUGCUCUGGGGCAGAGCCGCGAACGGGUGAGUAACACGUGGGUAACCUACCCUGAUGACUGGGACAACCCGAGGAAACUCGGGCUAAUACCGGAUGUGCUCUCCUCUCACGAGAGAGGCGAGUAAAGGAAGCUUCGGCCUCCGCAUCAGGAGGGGCCCGCGGCCCAUUAGUUUGGUGGUGGGGUAACGGCCUACCAAGACUGCGAUGGGUAGCUGGUCAGAGAGGACGAUCAGCCACAUUGGGACUGAGACACGGCCGAGACUCCUACGGGAGGCAGCAGUGGGGAAUCUUGCGCAAUGCGCGACAGCGGGACGCAGCAACAUCGCGUGGGGGAAGAAGGCCUUCGGGUUGUAAACCCCUUUCAGGAGGGACGAAGGCCGGCCGGUGAAUAGCCGUGCCGGUUGACGGUACCUCCACAAGAAGCCCCGGCUAACUACGUGCCAGCCGCCGCGGUAA
rnacentral:rRNA from 1 species